rnacentral:RNase_P_RNA from 1 species
AAAUUGAGCUGUUGAGCUGACGGUGGGCAUGACCCGCUGAGGAACCUCACCUCACCCUCCAAGCAAGGUGUAGAUAACUACUACGAUGAAAAUCGUAAUCUGAUGGCAGAAACGACACUGCCUUCUCACGUAGAUUAAUGACUUGGAUAUAAGCCAGAGAAAUUGUGAGAAGGAAUGGUUGAAACGAGUCAGACCCUUGGUGCAAGGCCAAAUGAAAGCGUUAAAGCACUUGGAGCUAGCUUUAGGUAGGCCGCUUAGUUUGAUGCUCAAUCCUAUUUUUGGCGACGAAAAUAGCAGACAGAAAGGUGGGUACAAGCUCAAGUU